AUUUCAGUUCACUGUUUUUCUCACUUUAAAUCCGCUUCAAGUACUCCCAAUCUACUACCUUCUUCUUAACCUCAGAAGUACACUACACUAGCUAGAAGUUAGAACUGUUUCUUUGUGAGAAAAAAAAUCGUUUGCUUUAUAAUUUUUAAAACGUUGCUUUAUGCAAAAGAGAAAAGAAGAAUCAAUGAUGAAAUGUGCUGUUGAAGACCACACCCUCCAUGAUUAUAAUCACUUACCUUUUUUUAUUUUUGUUUCUUAAAAAACCUUUACCAAUUUGUAUUAUCCUGGCUAGAUCGGAUCACAAUUAGUUUUAAUAAGUUUCAUUUACCUCUCACUCAUAUCUUUCUUCUUCAUUUCUUUCGUUCAAAUCCAUGAGUACCAUUACUACGGCAAACCGGAGUAGAUUUUUCAACGCUCGGGGGAAUUCAUCGUCGGUCGAGUCCAGAGUUCGUUCAUCUAAGUCGACUCAUGGCUGCUCGUCAAGUGGAAAGGUUGAUAGUAUGGCAAUGUGGUUCAUAAAUGAUGAGGAGGAUAAUUUUCAGCACCAAAAUCGUGGAACCGGAGGAAUUCGGAGAAGAAGGAACGGGAAGGGAAAGACAAUAGAUGAUAGAUAAGUAGAGUGGUUUGUUUUCUUUGUUUCAUUAUGUGAUUUUAACAUGUUAAUUAAUGUAUUAAUGUCUAUAGUUUAAGCUGUUAUUUUCUUGUUCAUUCUAAAUCUAGUUUUUGUUUUUUCAUAAUA